rnacentral:lncRNA from 1 species
AGGGAACGGAUUGUGAGAAGGGAGACCACAUCCUGUUGCUCACACCUGGAAAAUUUUUGUAGAGAUUGGGUCUUGCUAUGUUGCCCAGGCUGAUCUCAAACUCCUGGGCCCAAGUGAUCCUCCCACCUUGGCCUCCCCCUGUGCUGGGAUUAUAGGCAUAAGCCUAUAAGACAUGCCCAGCCUGUCCUUACUUUUUUAUAGCCCUCAUUAAGAUAAAUAUUUCUCUCCAUUUUGGAAAAAUCAAACAAUUAGGGAAAGUCAUAGAAGAGAGGCUAAGGAUGAUUCCAGGAAGUGUGCUGUUUACAUUGCAUGUCAAAACAAGAUAUAACGCUGGAAAUGGAGUCACACGAACAGCCUCUCCUUCCUCCUGAAUACCUGAGACAUAGGCUUCCUGUGGCCUAAGACACCCUAGGAAGGCUGUUUCUCUCCAGUGCAUCAGGUACUAAUGAGAUGACCAAUGAGAGCACUGUUCCCAGCUCUGAGAGUUCACAGACUUAUACAUUAUGCAUUAGACAAAUACCAUCUUCCAUUUAUCUUCAUCUGCAGGUAUUUUGUUAA